AUUGAACGCUAGCGGGAUGCCUUAUACAUGCAAGUCGAACGGAAUGGCGAACGGGUGAGUAAUGUAUCGGAACGUGCCCAGUAGCGGGGGAUACCUACGUGAAAGCGUAGCUAAUACUGCAUACGAUUGCAGCGGCUGAUGGUGGCUUAGCUAGUUGGUGGGUUAACGGCUAACCAAGGCGACGAACCGUAGCCGUUUUGAGGGGACGACCAGCCACACUGGAACUGAGACCCGGCCCAGACUCCUACGGGAGGCAGGAGUGGGGAAUCUUGGACAAUGGGGGAAACCCUGGUCCAGCCAUCCCGCGUGUGCGAUGAAGGCCUUCGGGUUGUAAACCACUUUUGUCAGGAAAGCGGUACCUGCAGAAUAAGCACCGGCUAACUACGUGCCAGCAGCCGCGGUAAUUC
rnacentral:rRNA from 1 species